rnacentral:rRNA from 1 species
AUUGAACGCUGGCGGCAGGCUUAACACAUGCAAGUCGAGCGGGGUGAUGGUGCUUGCACUAUCACUUAGCGGCGGACGGGUGAGUAAUGCUUAGGAAUCUGCCUAUUAGUGGGGGACAACAUCGCGAAAGGGAUGCUAAUACCGCAUACGUCCUACAAGAGAAAGCAGGGGAUCACUUGUGACCUUGCGCUAAUAUAUGAGCCUAAGUCGGAUUAGCUAGUUGGUGGGGUAAAGGCCUACUAAGGCGACGAUCUGUAGCGGGUCUGAGAGGAUGAUCCGCCACACUGGGACUGAGACACGGCCCAGACUCCUACGGGAGGCAGCAGUGGGGAAUAUUGGACAAUGGGGAACCCUGAUCCAGCCAUGCCGCGUGUGUGAAGAAGGCCUUAUGGUUGUAAAGCACUUUAAGCGAGGAGGAGGCUCUUUUGGUUAAUACCCAAGAUGAGUGGACGUUACUCGCAGAAUAAGCACCGGCUAACUCUGUGCCAGCAGCCGCCGUAA